CAGCAGUGGGGAAUAUUGCACAAUGGGGGAAACCCUGAUGCAGCGACGCCGCGUGGAGGAAGAAGGUCUUCGGAUUGUAAACUCCUGUUGUUGAGGAAGAUAAUGACGGUACUCAACAAGGAAGUGACGGCUAACUACGUGCCAGCAGCCGCGGUAAAACGUAGGUCACAAGCGUUGUCCGGAAUUACUGGGUGUAAAGGGAGCGCAGGCGGGAAGACAAGUUGGAAGUGAAAUCCAUGGGCUCAACCCAUGAACUGCUUUCAAAACUGUUUUUCUUGAGUAGUGCAGAGGUAGGCGGAAUUCCCGGUGUAGCGGUGGAAUGCGUAGAUAUCGGGAGGAACACCAGUGGCGAAGGCGGCCUACUGGGCACCAACUGACGCUGAGGCUCGAAAGUGUGGGUAGCAAACAGGAUUAGAUACCCUGGUAGUCCACACUGUAAACGAUGAUUACUAGGUGUUGGAGGAUUGACCCCUUCAGUGCCGCAGUUAACACAAUAAGUAAUCCACCUGGGGAGUACGACCGCAAGGUUGAAACUCAAAGGAAUUGACGGGGGCCCGCACAAGCAGUGGAGUAUGUGGUUUAAUUCGACGCAACGCGAAGAACCUUACCAAGUCUUGACAUCCUGCGACGCACAUAGAAAUAUGUGUUUCCUUCGGGACGCAGAGACAGGUGGUGCAUGGUUGUCGUCAGCUCGUGUCGUGAGAUGUUGGGUUAAGUCCCGCAACGAGCGCAACCCUUAUCUUUAGUAGCCAGCGGUUCGGCCGGGCACUCUAGAGAGACUGCCAGGGAUAACCUGGAGGAAGGCGGGGAUGACGUCAAAUCAUCAUGCCCCUUAUGACUUGGGCUACACACGUGCUACAAUGGCGUAAACAAAGGGAAGCAAAGCUGUGAAGCCGAGCAAAUCUCAAAAAUAACGUCUCAGUUCGGACUGUAGUCUGCAACCCGACUACACGAAGCUGGAAUCGCUAGUAAUCGCAGAUCAGAAUGCUGCGGUGAAUACGUUCCCGGGUCUUGUACACACCGCCCGUCACACCAUGGGAGUUGGGAAUGCCCGAAGCCAGUGACCUAACCGAAAGGAAGGAGCUGUCGAAGGCAGGCUCGAUAACUGGGGUGAAGUCGUAACAAGGUAGCCGUAUCGGAAGGUGCGGCUG
rnacentral:rRNA from 1 species